ensembl:lncRNA
GUACAAGAAGUUACCUCUUCUCUGUGGAAUGCUGCAGUUUUAUUUAAUGGGAAAACUAUUCUCUUACUCCUUCCCUUCUGGGAAGAAAAUGUCCCCUGAGCAAUUGAUGCUUAUGAAAUAAAGCCUUGAAUUUUUGAUUCGGGAAUAGCUUUCAUUGUCCAAAUGACUGCUGGAUAGCCCUGAAUGUUCAUUAUUUUUAUAUAAUAAACAUUUUGCACAUAGGAAAACUCAGUGAGUUUGAUUAUUCUCAGAUGAAGUUUAGACCAGAAAUCACACAGACAGAUGAUAAAGCCAGGGAUCUAAAACGAUCAAUAAACACGAAGAGACCACCAACCAACAAGAAAGGUCUCAGAGCUUAAACCAGAGCCUAGAACACACAGGAAGGUCCCGGAGCUUAAACCAGAGCCUAGAACACACAGGAAGGUCCCGGAGCUUAAACCAGAGCCUAGAACACACAGGAAGAUCCUGGAGCUUAAACCAGAGCCUAGAACACACAGGAAGGUCCCGGAGCUUAAACCAGAGCCUAGAACACACAGGAAGGUCCCGGAGCUUAAACCAGAGCCUAGAACACACAGGAAGGUCCCGGAGCUUAAACCAGAGCCUAGAACACACAGGAAGGUCCCAGGGCUUAAACCAGAGCCUAGAAC